GGGGGGUGACCGUUGGGGGGUGACCGUUGGGGGGUGACCGUUGGGGUGCCGGCAGCAGCACCACGUCGUUCCUCAGCAGCGGCUGUGCCCGCCCCGGGCCGUAACCUUGGGCUCCCCGCUCCGCCCGGGGCGGCUCCCCCGGUCCCCCCUGGUUCCCCCCGGGUCCCCUCAGCCUCGGUCCCCGGCCCCGGAGCCCGACGUGUGGCUGUCGCUGUGUGCGUGGGGGCGCUUCCCCUCCUCAUCCUCGCUGCCAGCUGUGCAGCUCGCCGUAGUUCCUUCAGAGCAUCCGGAUUUUGUCAGGGCUGGGCGGUUUGACAAAUGUUUCUGUGGAGGAAAGGAUGUCAUCUACAAUGGGAAUUUCUACGGAGUAAUUUCUGAUUUUCAAAAAAUAACUGCUACAUUUACAAAGGUAGUUGGUACUUUAGGUCAGUCUUUGCUGCUGGAUUCUGCAUAUGCACUUGUAUAUAUUGGAUGUAUUUCUGUGUCAGCUUAUGAGGAGAAAGCUCUGUGUAAGGUCCAAGCAAACUUGCUUUUGGUUAAUCAAACUGUCUUUGCUGUCAGGACAGCAGCUGUGCAGUAGAACCAAUGGAAGGCAUUUUUGAAAUACUCUACUUGAGAAUCCCAGUACUAUGGAGAGGAAGAUAAUUUCAGCUGUUUGUGUAACUGCAGGAAUACUUGAGGAAAUACUGUGUGAGCAGCCAGGUAGUAGCCAGAACACUGUACUAUUCUCUUACCUCUAACAGAGUUUUGAGUCCGUGGUGUUAACGCCAGGCUGCUCUCAUUCUGAACAAGGUCACUUCUUACACCUACACUACUUAACAGAAUUUUUAGGAUAAAAUCAUGUAGCUUGAUUUAAUGCAAAAUUGCAACAACCUUGUUUAACAAAAAAGGCAUUUACAUAAUUAGAAUUAUGCUCCUUACUUUCUUCUUUCUUUUUUCCUUAAAAAUAAAAAUGUUAGUCCACAUCUUCA
rnacentral:lncRNA from 1 species